AUUGAACGCUGGCGGCAUGCCUAACACAUGCAAGUCGAGCGCGCGGCGGACGGGGGAGUAAGGUAUGGGGAUCUGCUCGAUAGAGGGGGCUAACUACUGGAAACGGUGGCUAAUACCGCAUACUAUCGGCUGAACCCAUAUGGGAUUAGCUAGUAGGUGGGGUAAAGGCUGACCAAGGCGACGAUCUCUAGCUGGUCUGAGAGGAUGAACGGCCACACUGGAACUGAGACACGGCCCAGACUCCUACGGGAGGCAGCAGUGGGGAAUAUUGCACAAUGGGCGCAAGCCUGAUGCAGCCAUGCCGCGUGUGUGAAGAAGGCCUUAGGAUCGUAAAGUACUUUCAGCGGGGAGGCGUUACCCACACAAGAAGCACCGGCUAACUCCGUGCCAGCCGCCGCGGUAAUUC
rnacentral:rRNA from 1 species